GAUGAACGCUGGCGGCGUGCCUAAUACAUGCAAGUCGAGCGAACAGACGAGGAGCUUGCUCCUCUGACGUUAGCGGCGGACGGGUGAGUAACACGUGGAUAACCUACCUAUAAGACUGGGAUAACUUCGGGAAACCGGAGCUAAUACCGGAUAAUAUAUUGAACCGCAUGGUUCAAUAGUGAAAGACGGUUUUGCUGUCACUUAUAGAUGGAUCCGCGCCGCAUUAGCUAGUUGGUAAGGUAACGGCUUACCAAGGCAACGAUGCGUAGCCGACCUGAGAGGGUGAUCGGCCACACUGGAACUGAGACACGGUCCAGACUCCUACGGGAGGCAGCAGUAGGGAAUCUUCCGCAAUGGGCGAAAGCCUGACGGAGCAACGCCGCGUGAGUGAUGAAGGUCUUCGGAUCGUAAAACUCUGUUAUUAGGGAAGAACAAAUGAGUAAGUAAUUAUGCACGUCUUGACGGUACCUAAUCAGAAAGCCACGGCUAACUACGUG
rnacentral:rRNA from 1 species